rnacentral:rRNA from 1 species
CGGUGAAGCCCUUCGGGGUGGAUCAGUGGCGAACGGGUGAGUAACACGUGGGCAAUCUGCCCUGCAUUCUGGGACAAGCCUUGGAAACGAGGUCUAAUACCGGAUACGACGCAUCCCCGCAUGGGGUGUGCGUGGAAAGCUCCGGCGAUGCAGGAUGAGCCCGCGGCCUAUCAGCUUGUUGGUGGGGUAAUGGCCUACCAAGGCGACGACGGGUAGCCGGCCUGAGAGGGCGACCGGCCACACUGGGACUGAGACACGGCCCAGACUCCUACGGGAGGCAGCAGUGGGGAAUAUUGCACAAUGGGCGAAAGCCUGAUGCAGCGACGCCGCGUGAGGGAUGACGGCCUUCGGGUUGUAAACCUCUUUCAGCAGGGAAGAAGCGCAAGUGACGGUACCUGCAGAAGAAGCACCGGCUAACUACGUGCCAGCAGCCGCGGUAAUACGUAGGGUGCGAGCGUUGUCCGGAAUUAUUGGGCGUAAAGAGCUCGUAGGCGGCCUGUCACGUCGGAUGUGAAAGCCCGGGGCUUAACUCCGGGUCUGCAUUCGAUACGGGCAGGCUAGAGUGUGGUAGGGGAGAUCGGAAUUCCUGGUGUAGCGGUGAAAUGCGCAGAUAUCAGGAGGAACACCGGUGGCGAAGGCGGAUCUCUGGGCCAUUACUGACGCUGAGGAGCGAAAGCGUG